CCAAUAGCGUAUAUUAAAGUUGUUGCAGUUAAAAAGCUCGUAGUUGAAUUUCGGGAUCAGCAGGUUGGUCGUGCCAACGGUAUGCACUGGCCUUGCUGAUUCCUCCCUCUUGAUGAGCCGUAAUGUCAUUAAUUUGGUGUUGCGGGGAAUCAGACUGUUACUUUGAAAAAAUUAGAGUGUUUAAAGCAGGCUAACGCUUGAAUACAUUAGCAUGGAAUAAUGAAAUAGGACGUUUGACCCUAUUUUGUUGGUUUUUAGGAUCGACGUAAUGAUUAAUAGGGAUAGUUGGGGGCAUUAGUAUUCAAUUGUCAGAGGUGAAAUUCUUGGAUUUAUUGAAGACUAACUACUGCGAAAGCAUUUGCCAAGGAUGUUUUCAUUAAUCAAGAACGAAAGUUAGGGGAUCGAAGACGAUCAGAUACCGUCGUAGUCUUAACCAUAAACUAUGCCGACUAGGGAUCGGAUGAUGUUAAUUUUUUAAUGACUCAUUCGGCGCCUUACG
rnacentral:rRNA from 1 species